AUGUUACGGGAGAUAUGUGGCCUCCGUGAUAGUGUAUAUGUGACCAUGGAAGAGAAAGUUGCAAUGUUCUUACUUGUAGUUGGCCAUAGUAUCAAGAUGAGGAUGUUGCAUGGCACCUACAAGCGUUCUUUAUGGACCAUUAGUACACACUUCUCUGCUAUCCCAACAACCCUACUCUCUCUAUAUGGGGAGUUCAUUAAGCUACCUUCCGCUACCGCUCAAGCUUCUGAUGAUUACAAAUGGAAGUGGUUUGGUAAUGCACUUGGAGCACUAGAUGGUUGUCAUAUUGACGUGCUUGUUGAUGUGGCUGACCAAGGAAGGUAUAAGAACAGAAAGCAAGCCAUUACCACUAACAUGCUAGGUGUUGUUGAUUGA
rnacentral:rRNA from 1 species